GCCUAAUACAUGCAAGUCGAGCGAACGGACGAGAAGCUUGCUUCUCUGAUGUUAGCGGCGGACGGGUGAGUAACACGUGGAUAACCUACCUAUAAGACUGGGAUAACUUCGGGAAACCGGAGCUAAUACCGGAUAAUAUUUUGAACCGCAUGGUUCAAAAGUGAAAGACGGUCUUGCUGUCACUUAUAGAUGGAUCCGCGCUGCAUUAGCUAGUUGGUAAGGUAACGGCUUACCAAGGCAACGAUGCAUAGCCGACCUGAGAGGGUGAUCGGCCACACUGGAACUGAGACACGGUCCAGACUCCUACGGGAGGCAGCAGUAGGGAAUCUUCCGCAAUGGGCGAAAGCCUGACGGAGCAACGCCGCGUGAGUGAUGAAGGUCUUCGGAUCGUAAAACUCUGCUAUUAGGGAAGAACAUAUGUGUAAGUAACUGUGCACAUCUUGACGGUACCUAAUCAGAAAGCCACGGCUAACUACGUGCCAGCAGCCGCGGUAAUACGUAGGUGGCAAGCGUUAUCCGGAAUUAUUGGGCGUAAAGCGCGCGUAGGCGGUUUUUUAAGUCUGAUGUGAAAGCCCACGGCUCAACCGUGGAGGGUCAUUGGAAACUGGAAAACUUGAGUGCAGAAGAGGAAAGUGGAAUUCCAUGUGUAGCGGUGAUAUGCGCAGAGAUAUGGAG
rnacentral:rRNA from 1 species